UUUGCUCCGUAUUUUGCGCUUUUGAGAAGUUCUACAACAUUCUUCUUCCCGUGCAUAAACAAAACCGCAUUUCACUAUCGGUGUUCAUCGGAAUCGCUGUUGUCACCCAUCGUCUAAAAACGAUUACAAUUUCACAAUCACUGGCUGGGUUCGUCGAAAGCCAUUUCGUCGGAGGCUGUGGUUUCGAGUUGUUGUAGGAAGAGGAAGUCUCGAAGUAGACAAGAUGCAACUCUAUCAGUUGCUAAGACCCUCGCCAAGUGAGAAGAGCAUGAUGCCCAGCUCGACUCUUGCAAUAGUGAGACUAAAUCAGUUUGUAAAGCUCCAUGUGUUGGGUUGAAGAAGGGAUGCAUGAAAGGAUAGGGAGGUCCUGAGAACUCAUCAUUUAAGUACAAAGGUAUUAGGCAAAGAACAUGGGGGUUUCUGAAAUUCGUGAGCUAAAGGAAAAAAGGCUAUGGCUUGGUACUUUUGAAAAUGAUGUUGAUGGUGCCUUGUCUUAUGAUAAAGCUGCAAGAGCAAUGUACAGUUCUCGUGCCUGCCUUAACUUUUCAGAUGAUUGUUCAGUCACGACCGCAUCAAGCAUUUGUUUGACAGCAACUCCGGCAUUUUUUGAUUUUGCCACUACAUCAAACUGUUCUAGAGCCUCUGUAGCUGAGGAUAUAAAUGUGUGAAGUAAUAGCUUGCAUGCUGCAGUCAUUGAAGCUGUUGACACAGCCAUCACGUUUCCAACCAUUACGUUUAUAUCCUCAGCUACAAAGGCUUCAGAAUAGUUUGAUGUAGUGGCAGAAUCAGAAUAUGCAGGAGUUUCUGUCAAACAGAUGCUUGAUGAGGUCGUGGCUAAACAAUCAUCCGGAAAGUUGAGGCGGGCACAAGAACCGUACAUUUCUCUUGCAACUUUAUCAUAAGACAAGGCAACAUCAACAGCAUUUUCAAAAUUACCAAGCCAGAGCCUUUUUCCCCGUUGGCUCACAAAUUUCAACAACCCAUUUACCCCAUGUCCUCUGCCUAACACCUCUGUACUUAAAUGAUGAGUUCUCAGGACCUUUCUUUCCUUUCAUACAAUUGUUCCUCUCCACCCCCUUAAGUGCCUGGUGCCCCCACCAGCUUCCCUGCUCUGGUUGCUUUUUUGUUUGGGUGUUUGGAGGUCAGAUCUACUGCUACCCACCAUCAUCCACAUGCCUCUCCACCGCCUUCUCCGAUCUACGCUCUUCCAUUCUCUAGCCUCUAAUCUUUGGCUUUGGAAUAGGCUGGGUUAAGCUUGCCCAUUCUAUUCGAGAUAACUUCUUUGAAUUAUUCCCAGCUACAGUUAAAUCAAACAUUUGGGAAGAGGAAGUCCCGAAGUAGACAAGAUGCAACUCUAUCAGUUGUUGAGACUCUCGCCAAGUGGGAAAAGCAUGAUGCCCAACUCGACUCUUGUAAUAGUCAAACUAAAUCAGUUCAUAAAGCUCCAUGUGUUGAGUCGAAGAAGGGAUGUAUGAAAGGAAAUGGAGGUCCUGAGAACUCAUCAUUUAAGUACACAAUUAUUAGGCAGAGGACAUGGUUGCUAAAAUUCGUGAGCCAAAGGGAAAAAUGCUAUGGCUUGGUACUUUUGAAAAUGCUGUUGAUGCUGCCUUGUCUUAUGAUAAAGUUGCAAGAGCAAUGUACAGUUCUUGUGCCCGCCUUAACUUUUCGGAUGAUUGUUCAGUAACGACCGCAUCAAGCAUCUAUUUGACAGCAACUACGGCAUUUUUUGAUUCUGUCACUACAUCAAACUGUUCUAGAGCCUCUGUAGCUGCGGAUAUAAAUGUGAGAAAUAAUAGUUUGCAUGCUGCAGUCAUUGAAGCUGUUGAAGAAGAAUUGAUGGCAUUUCAAAGUGUUUUUGGGAUGACAGACAAGAGUAUUCUAUGAAUGAAAUGUUUUCUUUGGAGGAAGUUGACGCCUCUUUGACACUAGUCCUCUCCCUGAUAUUGAAUCGGUGUUGGCUAAUGAUGCUGGUCAGCUUUGGUUCUCUGCCAUUGAGAUUCUGAAUGAUAUGGCAGCAGACACCUUCAAGAGUUGAUAGGUUUUGAGUUAUAAAUAGGCAGAGGAGUAUUAGAAUUAUUAGAUGAUUUAUCAGAUUUCUCAUUUUGAGUUGAGGGGAUAAUGGAUGUUAGAUAGGAGGCAGACUUGGAUUCUUUUUUGGCUGACUGAGCUAAUUCUUUAAGGGUUUUAGAUUGGGAAAUUAGUUUUAUUAUAUUUUUUGUGUAACAAUUAUACCACUUUAGGAUACACAAUCUUCAAUUGAAUAUUAAACAAAGUUUAUUUUUGA